CCUACGGGCGGCAGCAGUGGGGAAUAUUGGACAAUGGGGGCAACCCUGAUCCAGCCAUGCCGCGUGUGUGAAGAAGGCCCUCGGGUUGUAAAGCACUUUCAGUGAGGAAGAACGCCUGGUGGUUAAUACCCAUCAGGAAAGACAUCACUCACAGAAGAAGCACCGGCUAACUCCGUGCCAGCAGCCGCGGUAAUACGGAGGGUGCGAGCGUUAAUCGGAAUUACUGGGCGUAAAGCGCGCGUAGGUGGCUUGAUAAGCCGGUUGUGAAAGCCCCGGGCUCAACCUGGGAACGGCAUCCGGAACUGUCAAGCUAGAGUGCAGGAGAGGAAGGUAGAAUUCCCGGUGUAGCGGUGAAAUGCGUAGAGAUCGGGAGGAAUACCAGUGGCGAAGGCGGCCUUCUGGACUGACACUGACACUGAGGUGCGAAAGCGUGGGUAGCAAACAGGAUUAGAACCCCUGUAGUC
rnacentral:rRNA from 1 species